GAUGGUUUAAGGGGGCUACUGAUGUGUUCAGAUUAAUCAGCCAUUUCUACCGAGAUCAUGUCACCUUAAUCCAUUCAUGGACUCCAAUUAUGAGAAAUUAUUUUUGACAAAGUAAAACUAUGAAAGAUACAUAAUAAAAAUAUGUAACUUUCCUGGAGAGGGUAAACAUACCCAACAUAUAUAUUUUCUAAAAAUUAUAUUAACUGUGAGGGUUCUUGGAAGAAUAAUGAAUUAUGGUUCAGUUAUUUAGUCAUCUUAAAUUCUUAGGUAACUUGUCUACUUAAUUGUUCUCCAACCAAGCUUUUAUUACUAAAAUGAAAAAAGAUUACUAUGAAUGACUAUGUUCAGUUAUUUAAAGAUUGAAAUGUAUUUGAUUUAGGUGAAGUGGAGAAUGGCUUUAUUUUUUAUAGAAGAAAACAAUUUUGAUUUAAUUUUCGGGCAUAGUUAUUCUUUUUUGGGGGAGGGGGCGGUGUUUACCCUCACCAAAGGUUAUUACUUUUUCCAUUGAUUUUUAGAAUGGAAGUACAGGAGGGAGUGGGAGAGAGGAAGAGAGAAACAGUGUGUGAGAGACAUGCAUCAAUUGGUUGCCUCCUGCAUGCACCCAACAGGAGCCCUGGCCCCUUUGGUGGGAAGGCCAAUGUUCUAACCCCUGAGCAACACUAGCCAGGGCAGCAUAGCUAUUCUUAUUCAGAUUGAUAAACUCAUUGUAUAAAGUUUAUCCACAUUCAUCAAUAAAGUCAACAUAAGUAAGUUUUACCUUGGAUCACUGAGAGAACAUUAGAAAUCAAAUCUAAUUCUUCUGUUCGCUAGAGAGCAGAUUCUGAUAAAAGUCAGUGUGAGUCUAUACAAAUAUUUAAUUAUAGGGACAAUCAAGAAGUCCUUAAAAAUAUGACUUUGGCUGUAACAUGAUCCCACAGUGUAGAUCCCAAGGUUAAUGUUCUAAGAAGAUUUUUAAGUCAAAAUGAAAUGAAUGUAAUGAUUUAAAAAUAUAUUCUUAUGAAAUCAGCUAGUCACAUAUCAGAAAAGUUUUAAAGUUAUGUACAAAUCUUAGGAAGAAAGAUUAAGUCAUGCAUAUAAUGAGCUUUUUGUAAGUUCUGGUAUUGGAAUCAACCAAUAUUAUAAUGAUUUAGUGCAAUGCUUCUGCUGACUAACCUUGUCUCAUGUUGGUGGUUAAACACUUAAGAACACUUAUCAUAGUUUUAUUUAUUUUUUCAGUGUCACUUCCUGGCUUUUCUCAAUUCCAUGGCUGUGGAAUCAACUACUGUAUGUGUUUAGCUUUUAGUGAAUGGAUAACAUAGGUAGAUAAUAGAAAGUAAAUUAUUCUUCUACUUCAUUAAGUUAAAGCAUCUAUGUUACCAAAGAAACACUUAAGCUAUUUUUU